rnacentral:piRNA from 1 species
UCCUCCGAAAACUGAGCAUUUGCCUC